CACUAGGAAGCUAAAUGGAGUUAGCAUUAGCCUUUUAAGCUAAAGAUUGGUGAUUCCCAACCACCUCUAGUGG
rnacentral:tRNA from 1 species